rnacentral:rRNA from 1 species
AGUUGAUCAUGGCUCAGAUUGAACGCUGGCGGCAUGCCUUACACAUGCAAGUCGAACGGCAGCGGGGACUUCGGUCCGCCGGCGAGUGGCGAACGGGUGAGUAAUGCCUGGGGAUCUGCCCAGUCGAGGGGGAUAACAGUUGGAAACGACUGCUAAUACCGCAUACGCCCUACGGGGGAAAGGAGGGGACCUUCGGGCCUUUCGCGAUUGGAUGAACCCAGGUGGGAUUAGCUAGUUGGUGGGGUAAUGGCUCACCAGGGCGACGAUCCCUAGCUGGUCUGAGAGGAUGAUCAGCCACACUGGGACUGAGACACGGCCCAGACUCCUACGGGAGGCAGCAGUGGGGAAUUUUGGACAAUGGGCGAAAGCCUGAUCCAGCCAUGCCGCGUGAGUGAAGAAGGCCUUCGGGUUGUAAAGCUCUUUCGCAAGGGAAGAAAACUUAUCCUCUAACAUAGGAUGAGGUUGACGGUACCUUGAUAAGAAGCACCGGCUAACUACGUG